AAAUCUCUCUGCUUUCUUUCUAUCCCCGCCCAACGGUUCCGAAGACGAGACGACGCAGGCAGUUUGCAGUGUGAGAUGUGCAGACCUGCUUAAAACAUGGAUUGUGUUGCUGUUUGCAGUUGGAAGGGAACAGAAUAGUGAUUGCUACCGGUUAUCGUCAGGACUGUUAACUCUUUUUUUGCUUUCCGCCGUCUUCUCAAAACCCACUUAUUGAACAG